UACAUCCUACGGGAGGCAGCAGUGGGGAAUUUUGGACAAUGGGCGAAAGCCUGAUCCAGCAAUGCCGCGUGAGUGAAGAAGGCCUUCGGGUUGUAAAGCUCUUUUGUCAGGGAAGAAACGGUGAGAGCUAAUAUCUUUUGCUAAUGACGGUACCUGAAGAAUAAGCACCGGCUAACUACGUGCCAGCAGCCGCGGUAAUACGUAGGGUGCAAGCGUUAAUCGGAAUUACUGGGCGUAAAGCGUGCGCAGGCGGUUUUGUAAGUCUGAUGUGAAAUCCCCGGGCUCAACCUGGGAAUUGCAUUGGAGACUGCAAGGCUAGAAUCUGGCAGAGGGGGGUAGAAUUCCACGUGUAGCAGUGAAAUGCGUAGAUAUGUGGAGGAACACCGAUGGCGAAGGCAGCCCCCUGGGUCAAGAUUGACGCUCAUGCACGAAAGCGUGGGGAGCAAACAGGAUUAGAUACCCCGGUAGUCCCA
rnacentral:rRNA from 1 species